rnacentral:lncRNA from 1 species
ACGACCUAAGAGAGGUCAUGAGCCUCUGCAAGGCUGUCUGGGACAAAGACAGACACUGAGGCAGGAGCCUCCAGCUGCCUGUGUUGUGCUGACCCCCACAGGACACCCACCCACUGGGCCACCCAGUCCACCUGAUGCCACUGGGUUCGGCCCUACUCAGACCUCAGCUUCCUCUCCUGCCCGCACCCCAAGCACUCUGUGCCCUGCUGGUCCUCACCCUCCUCAGGCUCUGUGCUCUCUGCCUGCCUCCAGAGGGCCUCUGGGCACCCCCAGACUCCCCCAGGGCUCCUCAUCCCUCUUGACCAUUGUGGGGCUCCCCAAGCUCUGCUUUCCUCUUGGGGUAUCUCCCCAUCCCCCACUCUCUUCCUUGGGGCUCCUCAGCCCUGGCUGAACCUCCUCAGUGGUCCUGCAGACCCACUGGCCUCCUGCUAACCCUGACCUUCACUAGCAUUCUCGGUUUGUGUGAAGGGGCCAAGUGACUUGCCCAGGACCACAGAUCCAAAUCAGGGACAGGGCUGGAACCCAGGCAGGGUCACCUGUGAUCUCGACUUUCUACUGUUCCCCCGUGCUAUAAUGACAAGCAGGAGUGGUGGCUCAGAUGUCCAGUGACCCUUGCAGAGAAGAGUCCUAUAACCAGUGACCACUUGCUGAUUGAACAAGGGCUGAGGGGGGUCUCAUUCCCCUGCAGAUGCCACCAUAUUCUGCUGCAUGGCGAGCAGCAGUGCACAGACAUAAUUAAGGCUGGCCCCCGACCUUAUGGAACUCCGGCCCGUGGGAAAAUGAAAUGAUGUGUCAACAGAGCUGUGCGGAACCAUGUGGUCCUGUGGGAGAGGGGGAGGGGUGAUAAGUGGUGCUGAGGGGAAGAUGAGGGUCCUGCCAGCUGCAACCACAGCCAGGGGCAAGGGACACUGCAGAGUAAACGGCAUGUGCAAAGUCCCUGUGACAGGGAGGGCUGAGGCUUGAGGAAAAGCAAACUCAGCACGCUGGAGUAUUUGGGCCACAUGGCAUGACCCUGGACAAAGGGUGGGGGACUCCCUGUUAUGGAGGCCGUGUCCCUUUCUGAACUCCAGCCUCAUUCCUGAAGCUUGUGUUUCCCUUUCUGGAUCUCUAUAUUCCCUGAUAUUUAAAAAGCCCAGAUUUGGCCUCAACUGGGUAAAACCUGCUCUUUCCCAUGUCAGGGCCCUGAAGAGGGCAGCCACUUCCAGAGGGGGUUUGAGGACCCUCCAGAAGGGGUGGGCUGGCUGCCGUGGAGAUGGGGACCAGUGCAGGACCUGGCUUGGGCCAGGAGUGUGUGGUCAAGCAAUGAGCCCAGGCUGGGAAAGGCCGCUGGCUUCGGCAAGGGGGGGGUCUUCCUUGGAGUUCUAGACCUGGCUCAGGGCAGGGUCCUUCCUAGAAUGGAGGGAACAGGGCCUGGGUGAGGAGCUGAGCCUGAAGAAAAG